GCUUUGCUCUUAACAGUUGGGGCGUUGACGCUGGAGAGCAACAGAGCGGAGUAUGAUUACUUCAAGUACCACCCGAUGGAUGAGAUCAGCAGCUGGAUGGUUCAGAUGGAGAAGGACCACCCCGACGUGGUGACCGUGGUGGACUACGGGAGGACGUACGAGAAAAGGACGAUCAGCUUGCUGAAGAUCGGCCUGAAGACCGAAGCCAAAAAGAAGGCCGUCUGGAUGGACUGUGGGAUUCAUGCUAGAGAAUGGAUCGCUCCCGCCUUCUGUCAGUACUUUGUCAGACAG